rnacentral:lncRNA from 1 species
UAUAUAUAUAUAUAUUUGUGAAGUUGCUUUAAGUACUAAUAAGCAAUGUACAAAAUGUUUGAAAUAUUUUACAUUAUCCUAUCUUUAUAAGAAAUGCAGUUAUUUUCAUAUUUUAAACAUAAACAAACAGCAUAAAAACAUGUGUGAUAACAAUUGGAUACAUUUAGCAAGUCUUGAAGAAAAUGUGCAAGCAACAAUUAGACUUGUUGUUAAUACUGAUGGAAUUCCUGUUUUUAAAUUAUCAAAGUGGACCUUGUGGCCUUUGCUAGCAUCCAUUCAUAAUUUUCCAUAUUCAUUGCAAAUUACUAAUAUUUUGUUUUUUGGUUUCUGGUCCAGUUUUAAAAAACCAAACGUGCAAUUAUUUUUAUCUUGUUUUGUUGAUUUUUUACUAACCUAUCCACUACUGGUAGUUUAAUGAUUAUAAUGGUUGCCAUUGGUGUUCUUCUCAAGGGAAGACACUGUACUGUUGUAAAUAAUCUUUUAUCUGCAAUCAGUGUGCCAAGCAAUAUAAGACAGACUCGAUGAUCAUUAAGUUGUAUAAAGCAUUGGAAAGGAUAAAAGUGAUAAAAUGCUAUUGGUUGGAAAUUGAUAAAUUAAUAAAAAAUGAUUGAUUCUAAUUGCGCGAAAAUAUGUUGAUA